rnacentral:rRNA from 1 species
UACGUAGGGGGCAAGCGUUGUCCGGAUUUAUUGGGCGUAAAGAGCGUGUAGGCGGUUUGGUAGGUCCGCUGUGAAAACUCGAGGCUCAACCUCGAGACGCCGGUGGAAACCAUCAGACUAGAGUCCGGAAGAGGAGAGUGGAAUUCCUGGUGUAGCGGUGAAAUGCGCAGAUAUCAGGAAGAACACCAGUGGCGAAGGCGGCUCACUGGCACGAUACUGACGCUGAGGCACGAAAGCGUGGGGAGCAAACAGG